AUUUCAAGUAGGUCAAAAUCUGUUCGCCUAGCUUGUGGAAAGCAGUACAAGUCGUUGGCACGCUUUGGAAUCUACACUCAAAUCAGAGAAUUUUUUUUUGAAGAUAACAUGUAAGUUAAAUAAAAGCGAAAAUGUUUAGAUUUCAGGCUGAAAGUAGAUCGAGAAGUUCAUAAUCGCGAGGAUUUGGCGAAUUCUCUGUAAGGUUUCGCAGCAGAUUUAAGAAUUUUGGCGCAAUGGCGAAGUAAUCAUUUUUAUCUCAGGGUUUGGCUGUGUUGUUUAAACACUAUGUGCGCCGAUACGGUUAAUUGGAGCUACGUGCCCUUAAUAAAUUUGUCAGAUUCGAGUACAGACUUUGUAAGUCUUCUCCGUACUGCGAACGAAGAGCAUAAUGAUUAUCAUGCAGCUUACAGGUUCAGAGGAACCCGGAAUUAUUUAGCCAGACAAGCUUUUCUUCGGAGCUAUAAAUUCUGUAUCGAAGAAAGCUUCAAAGACAAGCUCAGAAGAUCAAUCCGCAGGCUGAACGAGGAAUCCUUUGAAGAGCUUUUGAAGAAAUCGCUCCGAAAGUUGAUUAGAAACACGAAAUCCUUUGUGAAUCGCUGCCAUUGUGACAUUCUUCUGGCCAAUAAAAGCAAACAGAAGAGGAAAUUAUGGCCUGUUUCCUGUUUCAGCCCUUUCGAAGAAUCUGCUGCUUCACAGCAUGAUUUGAGCCGUUAUUAUUUCUGAAGAAAUGAUGUUCUGGGUUUACCGGAAAAUUCGAAGUCUUUUUCAGCUAAAGAAAUAAAGGUGUCACACGAUUGUUAGAGCGUCAUUCAAUCAAUAUUAUAAUUUCUUCACGUAAGAAAACUUCGGCCUAUUGGCAGUAUGGUAAGGGUAGGUCUGAUCUGUGAAGGCUGUCGUUUUAUAAUAUUCCAAAUCAUGUUAUCGUGGUAGAAUACGAAAAUCUACCUCAUAGAUGGAUAGGAAUUUCUAUUAGAUGUUAAAUUUGAAAGCAAUUUGAAAGCUGUAGACCAAUUUAUCGGAAAAUGACUUGCAGUACGCAAAUGCUGGCAAAAUUAUAAGCAACUCUGUGAUAUAUAAUAUUUAAUAAAGUUGUAAGCUGUUAUGAUAUUCUUU